rfam:Candida tropicalis MYA-3404 genomic scaffold supercont3.6, whole genome shotgun sequence.
GCUUCUGUAGCUAAGUGGUUAAGGCGUCGCACUUGUAAUUAAACAGAAAUGCGAAGAUCACAGGUUCAAAUCCUGUCCGAAGCA